UACCAGCACCCCGAGUGGUCGGGACGAUUAUUGGGCCUAAAGCAUCCGUAGCCGGUCCUGCAAGUCUUCCGUUAAAUCCACCUGCUUAACAGAUGGGCUGCGGAAGAUACUAUAGAGCUAGGAGGCGGGAGAGGCAAGCGGUACUCGAUGGGUAGGGGUAAAAUCCGUUGAUCCAUUGAAGACCACCAGUGGCGAAGGCGGCUUGCCAGAACGCGCUCGACGGUGAGGGAUGAAAGCUGGGGGGAGCAAACCGGGAU
rnacentral:rRNA from 1 species